rnacentral:tmRNA from 1 species
GGGGAUGACUGGCUUCGACGAUUGAGGCUGGGUCUGAACUGCGAGCCGAGAGGCGCCGACCUCGUUAACUCAGCGCAAACCUUAAGUGCCAACCGCACUGACUACGCAGCUCUCCCGCUCGCCGCGUAAUACCGGCUAGCAAAGAUCUGCCCAACUCCUCGUGAGUUGCGUCUGCCCCGCCCUCUCCUCGGCUGGGUGGGAACAGGCGAGACAAUGCCGGGGUGCUGUGCACGCUUCCGCGUCGUGCGCUUAAGACAAAGCGGAUGGCUGCGGGGACCCCCUUGUCUGUUGUGGGUCCCGCUGCGACAAAACAACCGACUACGCUCGUAGACGUUCAGAACUCUAAUCAUUCGGACGCGGGUUCGAUUCCCGCCAUCUCCACUC